rnacentral:rRNA from 1 species
AACAAACGCUGGCGGCGUGCCUAACACAUGCAAGUCGUACGAGAAAGGGUCCUUCGGGGCCUGAGUAAAGUGGCGCACGGGUGAGUAACGCGUGGAUAAUCUGCCCUUCAGUUGGGAAUAACUCAUCGAAAGGUGGGCUAAUACCGAAUAAUGCUGUGAGACCUCGGUUGAUCAGCCAAAGAGAGCCUCUGCUUGCAAGCCCUCGCUGAAGGAUGAGUCCGCGUACCAUUAGCUAGUUGGUAGGGUAAUGGCCUACCAAGGCGACGAUGGUUAGCUGGUGUGAGAGGAUGAUCAGCCACAAUGGAACUGAGACACGGUCCAGACUCCUACGGGAGGCAGCAGGGAGGAAUCUUGCGAAAUGGGGGCGACCCUGACGCAGCAACGCCGCGUGAGUGAGGAAGGUCUUCGGAUCGUAAAGCUCUGUCGGAUGGAAAGAACCGCAUAGGGGUAAACAGCCCCUGUGUCUGACGGUACCAUCAAAGGAAGCACCGGCUAACUCCGUGCCAGCCGCCGCGGUAACAC